CCCUUAGACGUUCUGGGCCGCACGCGCGCUACACUGACGAAGGCAACGAGCUUUCCUUUACCGAAAGGUACGGGUAAUCUUUUGAAACUUCGUCGUGCUGGGGAUAGAUCCUUGCAAUUUUUGAUCUUAAACGAGGAAUGCCUAGUAAGCGCGAGUCAUCAGCUCGCGUCGAUUACGUCCCUGCCCUUUGUACACACCGCCCGUCGCUACUACCGAUCGGAUGGUUUAGUGAGACCCUCGGACUGGUCCCGUCGAAGCAGGCGACUGCCUCGACGCGCGCGCCGGGAAGAAGGUCGAACUUGACUAUCUAGAGGAAGUAAAAGUCGUAACA
rnacentral:rRNA from 1 species